rnacentral:lncRNA from 1 species
AACCCAACAACUGUCCACCAAGCAUCACAUCACAGAUAUAAUGCAGAGUAGAGUACCAGUAGUAAGAUGCAAGCUUCUAACCUAACUGCGGGUAAGCCAGGGUAGUAGGUUGCGACAAGGUAACGGCUCACAAGCAUUUCUACCAUGCAUCCUAUCUCAGAUUAUUGCAUAAAAGUAAAGCGCUAGCUUCUACAUUCAUGGCAUGACUAAUAGGAUUCU